CAGCAGCCGCGGUAAUACGUAGGUGGCAAGCGUUGCCCGGAUUUAUUGGGCGUAAAGCGAGUGCAGGCGGUUCAAUAAGUCUGAUGUGAAAGCCUUCGGCUCAACCGGAGAAUUGCAUCAGAAACUGUUGAACUUGAGUGCAGAAGAGGAGAGUGGAACUCCAUGUGUAGCGGUGGAAUGCGUAGAUAUAUGGAAGAACACCAGUGGCGAAGGCGGCUCUCUGGUCUGCAGCUGACGCUGAGGCUCGAAAGCAUGGGUAGCGAACAGGAUUAGAUACCCUGGUAGUCCAUGCCGUAAACGAUGAGUGCUAAGUGUUGGGAGGUUUCCGCCUCUCAGUGCUGCAGCUAACGCAUUAAGCACUCCGCCUGGGGAGUACGACCGCAAGGUUGAAACUCAAAGGAAUUGACGGGGGCCCGCACAAGCGGUGGAGCAUGUGGUUUAAUUCGAGGCAACGCGAAGAACCUUACCUGGCCUUGACAUGCCGAGAACUUUCCAGAGAUGGAUUGGUGCCUUCGGGAACUCAGACACAGGUGCUGCAUGGCUGUCGUCAGCUCGUGUCGUGAGAUGUUGGGUUAAGUCCCGCAACGAGCGCAACCCUUAUUGUUAGUUGCCAUCAUUGAGUUGGGCACUCUAGCGAGACUGCCGGUAAUAAACCGGAGGAAGGUGGGGAUGACGUCAAGUCAUCAUGCCCCUUAUGACCUGGGCUACACACGUGCUACAAUGGGCAGUACAACGAGAAGCGAGCCUGCGAAGGCAAGCGAAUCUCUGAAAGCUGUUCUCAGUUCGGACUGCAGUCUGCAACUCGACUGCACGAAGCUGGAAUCGCUAGUAAUCGCGGAUCAGCACGCCGCGGUGAAUACGUUCCCGAGCCUUGUACACACCGCCCGUCACACCGUGGGAGCCUGUAACACCCAAAGCCGGUGGGAUAACCUUUAUAGGAGUCAGCCGUCUAAGGUAGGACAGAUGAUUAGGGUGAAGUCGUAACAAGGUAGCCGUA
rnacentral:rRNA from 1 species